UACGUAGGGUGCAAGCGUUAAUCGGAAUUACUGGGCGUAAAGCGUGCGCAGGCGGUUAUGUAAGACAGAUGUGAAAUGCCCGGGCUUAACCUGGGAACUGCAUUUGUGACUGCAUGGCUAGAGUUUGGCAGAGGGGGGUAGAAUUCCACGUGUAGCAGUGAAAUGCGUAGAGAUGUGGAGGAACACCAAUGGCGAAGGCAGCCUUCUGGGCCAACACUGACGCUCAUGCACGAAAGCGUGGGGAGCAAACAGG
rnacentral:rRNA from 1 species